rnacentral:rRNA from 1 species
GACGAACGCUGGCGGCGUGCUUAACACAUGCAAGUCGAACGGUGAAGCGCCUUCCUUUUUGGUGGGUGUGGAUGAGUGGCGAACGGGUGAGUAACACGUGAGUAACCUGCCCCCUUCUUCUGGAUAACCGCAUGAAAGUGUGGCUAAUACGGGAUAUUCUGGGUCUGUCGCAUGAUGGGUCUGGGAAAGAUAUUGUUUCGGUGGGGGAUGGGCUCGCGGCCUAUCAGCUUGUUGGUGGGGUGAUGGCCUACCAAGGCGGUGACGGGUAGCCGGCCUGAGAGGGUGGACGGUCACACUGGGACUGAGACACGGCCCAGACUCCUACGGGAGGCAGCAGUGGGGAAUAGUGCACAAUGGGCGCAAGCCUGAUGCAGCGACGCCGCGUGAGGGAUGGAGGCCUUCGGGUAGUGAACCUCUUUCGCCAGUGAAGCAGGCCUGCCUCGUUUGUGGGUGGGUUGACGGUAGCUGGAGAAGAAGCGCCGGCUAACUACGUG